rnacentral:rRNA from 1 species
GACGAACGCUGGCGGCGUGCUUAACACAUGCAGGUCGAACGGUAAGGCCCUUCGGGGUACACGAGUGGCGAACGGGUGAGUAACACGUGGGUGAUCUGCCCUGCACUUCGGGAUAAGCCUGGGAAACUGGGUCUAAUACCGGAUAGGACUCCGGACUGCAUGGUCUGGGGUGGAAAGCUUUUGCGGUGUGGGAUGGGCCCGCGGCCUAUCAGCUUGUUGGUGGGGUGAUGGCCUACCAAGGCGACGACGGGUAGCCGGCCUGAGAGGGUGACCGGCCACACGGGGACUGAGAUACGGCCCAGACUCCUACGGGAGGCAGCAGUGGGGAAUAUUGCACAAUGGGCGCAAGCCUGAUGCAGCGACGCCGCGUGAGGGAUGACGGCCUUCGGGUUGUAAACCUCUUUCAGCAUCGUCGAAGCGAAAGUGACGGUAGGUGCAGAAGAAGGACCGGCCAACUACGUGCCAGCAGCCGCGGUAA